rnacentral:misc_RNA from 1 species
AAGUCGUAACAAGGUUUCCGUAGGUGAACCUGCGGAAGGAUCAUUAACACGUGAUACUCACGUAUUAAAAACCCACCGAGAAAUUGUUAUACUAUCCUAGUUUCAGAUGCAGGCAGACUUUGUGAGGAAAUGCUAUUGGUCGCGCUUCCGAAAGGUAUGAGUCUACACCAUGACUCACAAAGUUGUUCUUAGGUCCGCCCUGGAGUUUGCACUGAUGACUAGUUGACGAGUUACGACUGCUUAUUAAGCCUGUAGCAUAGCUUGCAGAUCGUAAUGACCUUAUUAACCCCUUUUAUUAUUAUUUACUGAUUUGUACGUUUGUAUGAAUUCCUGACUUUACUGUCGGUUGUAGUUUAUAUAAAUGUCGUAUAUUACUAAUACGAAACAACUCUUAGCAACGGAUAUCUUGGUUCUCGUAACGAUGAAAAACGCAGC